rnacentral:rRNA from 1 species
AUUGAACGCUGGCGGCAUGCCUUACACAUGCAAGUCGAACGGCAGCGCGGACUUCGGUCUGGCGGCGAGUGGCGAACGGGUGAGUAAUACAUCGGAACGUACCCUGUUGUGGGGGAUAACUAGUCGAAAGAUUAGCUAAUACCGCAUACGACCUGAGGGUGAAAGUGGGGGACCGCAAGGCCUCACGCAGCAGGAGCGGCCGAUGUCUGAUUAGCUAGUUGGUGGGGUAAAGGCCCACCAAGGCGACGAUCAGUAGCUGGUCUGAGAGGACGAUCAGCCACACUGGGACUGGGACACGGCCCAGACUCCUACGGGAGGCAGCAGUGGGGAAGUUUGGACAAUGGGGGCAACCCUGAUCCAGCAAUGCCGCGUGUGUGAAGAAGGCCUUCGGGUUGUAAAGCACUUUUGUCCGGAAAGAAAUCGCGCUGGUUAAUACCUGGCGUGGAUGACGGUACCGGAAGAAUAAGCACCGGCUAACUACGUGCCAGCAGCCGCAGUAA